rnacentral:rRNA from 1 species
CCUACGGGAGGCAGCAGUGGGGAAUAUUGGACAAUGGGCGAAAGCCUGAUCCAGCCAUGCCGCGUGUGUGAAGAAGGCCUUCGGGUUGUAAAGCACUUUCAGUGGGGAAGAAAGCCUUGGGGCUAAUACCCUCGAGGAAGGACAUCACCCACAGAAGAAGCACCGGCUAACUCCGUGCCAGCAGCCGCGGUAAUACGGAGGGUGCGAGCGUUAAUCGGAAUUACUGGGCGUAAAGCGCGCGUAGGCGGUCUGAUAAGCCGGUUGUGAAAGCCCCGGGCUCAACCUGGGAACGGCAUCCGGAACUGUCAGACUAGAGUGCAGGAGAGGAAGGUAGAAUUCCCGGUGUAGCGGUGAAAUGCGUAGAGAUCGGGAGGAAUACCAGUGGCGAAGGCGGCCUUCUGGACUGACACUGACGCUGAGGUGCGAAAGCGUGGGUAGCAAACAGGAUUAGAUACCCUUGUAGUC